CCUACGGGCGGCUGCAGUGGGGAAUAUUGGACAAUGGGCGAAAGCCUGAUCCAGCAAUGCCGCGUGAGUGAUGAAGGCCUUAGGGUUGUAAAGCUCUUUUACCCGGGAUGAUAAUGACAGUACCGGGAGAAUAAGCUCCGGCUAACUCCGUGCCAGCAGCCGCGGUAAUACGGAGGGAGCUAGCGUUAUUCGGAAUUACUGGGCGUAAAGCGCACGUAGGCGGCUUUGUAAGUAAGAGGUGAAAGCCCAGAGCUCAACUCUGGAAUUGCCUUUUAGACUGCAUCGCUUGAAUCAUGGAGAGGUCAGUGGAAUUCCGAGUGUAGAGGUGAAAUUCGUAGAUAUUCGGAAGAACACCAGUGGCGAAGGCGGCUGACUGGACAUGUAUUGACGCUGAGGUGCGAAAGCGUGGGGAGCAAACAGGAUUAGAUACCCGGGUAGUC
rnacentral:rRNA from 1 species